rnacentral:lncRNA from 1 species
GUGGAGGAAUUCAACUCUAAUGUCAUAGCCCCUUAAAAAGGAAAUGGAGACAGGCUAGUAGUUGUAUUUUGAUGCAUUAAGAAGUGUGGAAAUGGAGAGCAAUCUCAAAUCUCUAAGUAUUCUUAUUAGAAUUAAAAAAGACAUAGAUUGAGAAUCAGAUUUUUAUUUCAACCUUGGGUCUCAUUUAGGUGAAUACAUGCUACUGGACUGAUCCUCUGUCAAAUUCCAUGAGUGUGUUUAAUUUCCAGCAUAAUAAACAAAUGAGGCAUUGGAGUUGUCACAUUACUUGGAAGAGGCAGGUUUUCAGAGCAUCUGGAGAACGUCUCCUAUGGCCAGACAUCUGCAUCAGCAAGCUCACUGGGGACCUGCCAGGCUCUUCACUGGUGACAUGGAGGAUGAUGGUCUCCAGCCCCGUCUGCAGACUUAGCUGUGACCUGGCCCAGAUCCAUGGCCUGCCAAAGCAGGAGACCCCCACAGUUCUGCACCUAAUGGGGAGAGUCCUCCUUGUUUUCCUGCCUGAAGGACAGGAAUGCUUUGGGGUUCCCCAAAAGCUGAACAGCAGGCAGUUGCAAAAAGCUCAGGCCACCUCUUUCUCCAUGAGAUGAUCCAGCCGAGCUUCAACUUGUUUGGCACAAACAGCUGAAAUUCCUCACUGGGCUUGAUCAGCAGGAGGAAGCUCUGCAGACCAGUUUGGUGCAGGAGCCUGGGGAAGAAAAGACCUUCCUGGAGAUGAGGACUCUAGCCUGACUUUGAAUAACUCCUUUUGAAGGACCAGGUUACAUCUGAAAAGGAAGUACAUAGCUGCUGUGCACGGGACAUUGUCAGACUGGAAAUUAAGACCUGAAAACCAGUAUGUGCUUUCCCUAUAGCAUCAACCUCAGAGAAAAUCCAGGAGUGGGAAAGGAGACUUGGACCCAGUCAUGUACAACUGAGUCUUAUCUACUUAUAGGUGCCUCUUGUGUGUCAGUGUUCCCUCAGUUCAAAGACUUUUCUGCUUCGGUUGUAAAUGCAUUGAGUCAUCUCGGCAAAUUGUUUUUCAAUACUAAAAAGAGAGUAUAAUUUUGAAUUGAGAGUAACUUUUUAGUGUGGUAUUUACAGAUAAAUUCUCUAUGAGUUUUGUAUUUACAAAUUUUUUUUUUCAUUUUAUGCCCUGCUAUGUAUCUUGUUUUUCUUUGCACUGGGGUGCAAGAGACAUACUUUGUUUUUUUAAGGCUUUGCUUACUGUAUUUUUUUUUAUUUUAUGAUUUUUAUUUUUUCCAUUAUAGUUGCUUUACAGUGUUAGAUCUUACUCACACUGUUAUGCAAAGUAUCCUUAAACCUUUAAUCGGCCUUAAAACCCUAAAAGAAUGUUUUAC